UUCUGAAAAGGAAGACAUCAGAUUUAUACAUCAUUGUUGGGAUUUGGAUGUAUUGAUUCUUACUUAGAGCUAUCUGAGUUUAGAGAUCUCACCCUUCCCCAGAUAUGCACCUGCCUGGCUACUUGAAAGCGGAUGGAUGCCGUGCCUGACUAGUGAAAUUUAACCCAUCACUUCAGGAACCAUUGUUACCGUUGCAACAAGCAGAUGUCACUGCAGACUGUGUGAAAAUGUCAGAGAAAAUGAAACAAAUCUAAGAAGUAGUAGAAGUGAAAUCUCACCCUUAAAAUGAAGCCUCUCCAAGGAACUUGACUCUAUGAAAUCAUAAGCAAUCAACUCUAUGGAAUCUGUGGACUGCUGAGUCUAAAAGAAGAGACUGAAAAAUCAAGUAGAUGAAACCCACA